AACCAUAGCUCAGUGGCAAAGCGUCCGCCUUGCAAGUGGAAGAUCCCGGGUUCGAUCCCUGACACCCCCAGAUCAGAGUUG